rnacentral:lncRNA from 1 species
GAGUUUUCUGAAGGAAAAAAAAAAAAAGGGGUCUGAUUUUUUUGACCCGUUUUGGGGCGUUUUCGACCCAUAAAACCACAAACUUGAUCCGCUUGUAUCUCCUUCAUCCGAUCUCCGUUUUGGGUGAUCUUGGUGUCUAUGGAAAGCUCUUGACGAGCCCUACAACUCUGUAUGUUAGAUUUUCCAUUUUAUUAUCCAUUUUUCCAGUUCGAGGCAGCAAAGUCCCGUGGGUUUUCCGGCGGUUUUGUCAUUUUCCGGCGAUUCCGGCAACCAUUUCCUUCAAGUGAGGUAUGAAACUUCAUCUCCUCUUCAUAAUCUUCAAGUUGGUAUGCUUAGUUUGUGCUUUCGUAUUCAUUUUAGAGUUGGGUGUGUAGAACCUUAGAAAUCCGGUUUUCACCGGUGAUUUUGGUCGGUUUCCGGUUAGAAUUUGUCAUUGGCCUAGUUGUGAAAAGUGUUUCUCUUGCUGAGCUCUAACUACCACGUAAAUUUGAGCUUAUUUAGUUAAUGUUGAAAAUUUGGGGUUUCUAAACCCUCCACCUUAACUAACCCGCGUGUGGCGGUGCGUGGGAUCGUCCACGAGUGUUGUCUAAGUACCAAAUACCUUUUAGUGAUCCUGUAAACCUAUGUCUAACUCGGUUUCCCGAAAUUCAAUUGUUUGGUGUGGUGAUCAAAUUGGACCAUCACUUAUUUGUGUGAUUGAUGACAAUCCGAUCGUUGGUUCGUUGUACAAUUUUGUGAACACCCUAGUUGUCAGUUGUUGGACCUUUGAGAACUUACAGAUCGAAAAUCCGAUGUGCGGAUCUUCCGGAUUGAAUAACCUUAGGUUGUUGACCUUAAUGGACCUACCUUAUCGACUGUUGAUGUUCUAGUCAACGUGCUCUACUCUAGGGUGUCGCUUAUCUCUAGUUUGUUGUUGAUGGAGCUUAGUUGGUUCAUCACGAUGACGUGUCGUUUCCAGUUGACGUGUCUCGAUAUAUGUAUUAGCGGCACCAUAUUGAGUUAUACUUGUUUAUUAAAUGUACUUUCUAUUGAAUUGUUAUCUUUAUUUUUUUUAGCAUCGAUCUAUGUUUAUUAAUUGUGAAUCGACUGUAGCUUGGAAACGUUUAUGAAAUGUGGUUAGAUAUGUAUGAUUAGUAUGAUGUAUAUGAUUGUUUUUAGGGAACUUUAACGAAAACACCCGGUAAUGUUCACUUUAACGAAAAACCACAUUUUUACACUAAAAAGUCAAUCUUGGUACUAUUCACUUUACCCUUUAUUUUGUCCUUAUCAUUAAAACUCAAAGUUUUCAAACCCUUUUCAUUAGUUUUCCUUUGUUUUUAUGACGAUGUGAACCCAAAAUCUUAUGAGAAGUUUAUGUAGAACUUUUAUGCUUGUAUGAUAAGAUAGUGGUCAUGAGAAGUUGAUAGUGUAAGUGAUUACGAUGUAAAUCAUAACGGAUGAGAUAAGGGUACGUGGGUUGUGUGUUGAUCUUACUACUCCAUGUAGUAGUUAUACAUUGAUGGUCCUGCUUGGUAUAUCCGCAUUGGGGGGGUCACUAGAGGUCAUGCUUGGUUAAUCCGCAUUGGGGGACCUUACUAUAUAUGGAUCGCGCUUGGUUAAUCAACGUUGGGCGAUCUUUAUGGCCAUGUAUGCUUAAGAGCGAUCAUGCUUGGUAAAUCCUCAUUGGGUGAUCACUUUCUAACAGUUGUAAGAGUGACUUUGCUUGGUUAAUUCGCAUUGGGGGGGGCCACUUCCUAUUUGGUUACUUAUGUAGGCUUCGGCCGAACCGCGUCCCUCUAACCCUAGUUUUUAAUGCACUUAUGAACGAUGGUUUUUGGGAAUUUUGGUUGGUUGAAUGGAUGUUGGGUGACUCCUACGGAGUUUUCAAUGACUUGAUUAUGAUUCCAUAAAGCAUGAUUCUAUACUUGAUGUUUAUAGAUUGUGAUCGAUGGUAUGUUUUUAUUGAAUAUCUCAUACUUGAAUUAUUGUCACUCACCCGAGCUCCGCAGCUUAUCUGAGUUCCGUUUGGCCAGUGCACCAUUUCCAUGAUGUAGGCAUUGAUUUUACCUAUAACAGGUCUGAGUAGAUUGUGAGAAACCGCUUGAUAUUUUGGUUCCGUUGAGCGGUCUGGAACCCGAUGUUGUUGGAUUCCGUUGAGUGGUCCGAAAUCCUUACUUUCGCUAAUUCCCAUAAGAUUAGUCUAGAACCCUAGAUUCGAGUGAAUGGGAAUUACCCACAAUGGAUCUUGUGAAUACAAAUUAGAAUUACCAUGUUAUUAUUCAUAACCCAAGUAGGGAAUUAUGUAGAGUUCUUUAAUUAAAUUCGUGAAAUGAUAUGCUAUCUCACUGAUUGAUUAACGUAAUUAAAUAUUAAUAUUGUGCUUCGUGAUUCCUUGAUAUGUUACAAGCUAUAGAUUGAGAUAUAAUGUUGGAAACAUAGUGAUUGGUAUGAUGUAGUGAAAUGUGAUUUGACUUGUGUAUUGGAAAUGGUUGUGACAUGUGAUUGAAAUGCUUAUUGAAUUGCUUGGGUGAUGUGAGGUCUGGUAAUAGACCGAUAACCCAUUGUGAUAGGGAUUUGUUGCUCGAUAUUGUUUCGUUUCGUUUAGUCUUCGUGAAUUGACUAACUUGAAUCAUGUCUUGUUCCUUUGAGCCGUAGUUAUGCUUCUUGGACUUCCGUUCGGUUCUGUUGAGUGGUCCAGAACUAAGUUCUGCUUGGAUCGUUGAAUGAUGGUCCGGAAUCCCUUCUACUCCGCGAUUCCGUUGAGUGAUGGUCCGGAGUCCCCUUUGGUGCUUUGAUUAUGUUGGAUGGUCCAAAAUUCCCUUUCCAGAAAUGUAGUUUUCGGCCAAACUGUGUCGCUCUAGCCCUUCAUUUCGGUCUAUGAUAUGUGAUAUUGAUUGAUGUGAUUAUGAAUGAUGUUGGUUGUGAUUGUUGCCAUUAUGAUUAGACUUGUUGACCAAUGUGGCUAGAUAAUAACAUUGUGCUUCGUUGACCGUUCUUUGAGAUGUUGCAUACUAUGAUUUGCGGUGAUAUGUGAAACAUGAUGAUUUAUGUGAUGGAUGAAGUGGAAAUGUUAAUCGUCAUGUGGGAUUGUUAUGUUGGAUGUCAUUGUAUUUGUUAUGAUUAGACUUGUUGAUAAAUAUGGCUAGAAAAUAUGUUGUGUUUCGUCAUUGUUCUUUGAUAUAUCGCAUAAUAUGCAUUGUGGUAUAUUGUUGGGACAAAACGUUUUAUGUGAUGGAUAUUCGAUUGUAGUGAAACAAUAAACUAUAAAUGGCUUGAUCCCUAUUGAGGGUACGUAGGCAGUCUAACGAGGAGGUUAGAUGCAGCCAUAAAAUAUACAAAAAUUUCUAUGAGAUUUGGAUCUUGAAUUAUGCUAUGUACAUAUCUCGGAGGCGGGGUAGGUUGAGAUACGGGUAUUUGGUGACGUCAUGUGUUGAUCCUGGACGUAUGUCGGGAUCGGGGCGUGACAGAGCACUCAAACAACUCACAUAACCCUCCUAGCAAAACCCUAUCCAACCCCCUUUGCUACGUUCAAUCGACUCCAACCCAAGGGAAAUAGUAUGUUUCCUUAAUUGCCCCUACAGUUAGUCUCAUAUGCCUCGCAUGUGACUGAUUUUAAUAGAACCAUUGACAGUGUUAGUGAAAAAGACCAUAGCUACACAUUUUGACGAGUUAAGGAACUAAUGGUCAUGAAAAUAAAGUUGAAGGACCAUUGCUAAAAUUUGCCUCCUUUUUUUUUAUAAAUACCUAACCAUGUCCUUUCACUUUUACACUACAUUUCAAUAUUUCAAAUACUUUCUACCAAUCUUUUAUUAUUAUCCGAAAUUAAUAAUAAAGUUAGUUAUCUUUCAUUAUUUUAUAAAAUAAAAAUUAAUAUUAUUUUAAUACGUAUUGUUUAGGUUAUUUAGCUUAUGAGUGGAGAUGCACUUAGACAGUUACUGCGCAUUUAAAAAGAUUGAGUUGCCUAUUUUCCAAAGAGGCCUUGCUACACUAGAAGUGCUCGAAGAGAGCGAGAGGUAAUAUUGCAGAAGUGCUGAUUUGCUUGGAGGACGAGGGAAGCAUGUUUGGUAACAAGUAGAUUCAAUGUCUUGCAUUAUAUGUGUGAUAUUCCUCUAACAAAAGCAAUGUUUUCUCUUGCACGUAGCAGCAAAUUAAGUGCUCAAUUUCUUUCUUUGACAAAAUUUAAACAAUAAAAAUAAAAAAUAGUGCUUAAUUUCUUUCAUU